rnacentral:lncRNA from 1 species
GAAAACUUCAGCGUCACGAGGAAUGAAGCCGUCAAACCAAGGCUGCCAAGGCCACGCACACAGGGCGCACCUGAGCUCCCGUCGCCGCCGCCGGCCCGCGGGGGGCGACCGUGGGGGACGAGGCCAGCCCGCGCUUCCCAGCCCAGAGCCAGGGCCGCGGCGGGCCUCCGGCCUCGCUCCCCACACACCCGCCAGGGCCCGUCUUCCCCUGCCCCGGGAUUAACGCGGCUAUUUUCAUUCAAACACUCACAGCCGCUGGAGUCACGCGGAGGUGCCAAGCGUCCGUGUGUCCCGGGGGCCCGGGCCGCGGGCUCGGGGGAGGCGGGGCGGGAGGGACGCCCACGCCCACGCCCCGCCCCCGCCGUCCCCUUCGCGCGGCAGGACACCGGGGGCCUCGGUGCUGCGGGCGGGCCACGGCGGCGGCGCACGGGCGCGCGUCACCACGGCCCACGUCACCACGGCCGUGACCCCGGGCCGCGCGGAGGAGCCACGCGGAGGAGCCGCGAGCUGCACCGCCCCGGCCGCCCGCGUCGCUCGCCGCACCCUCGGGCACGGUGGCCUCGGCCCCCUGCGCCCCCCCCCCCCCCCCCGCCCCGGGGUCCGGGCGCCGCCGCGGGAGGCCGAGCGCGUGGGCGGAGACCUUCCCGAGGCGGCUUUCCGGGGGGAACACGGCCCUUGUCAGACGGAACCGCGGGGCAGAGCGUUCGCAGGGAGGGACCGCAGCGGGGCGCCGAGGGCCGCGACACCCGGCGACCCCUGCCGGCCCCCGAGGGCGAGACGGAGGCGGAGGGGGAGAGGGAGGGGGAGGGCGAGGCGGGGGCGGGGGCGGGGCUCAGGGCGCGCUCGGACAGCCCGGGCCUUCCGCGGCCCCCCUGCCCCGCUGGGCACGAGCCCCCAGGUCCCGGCCGCCUCCCUCCCCGCUCACCUGCCUCCGCCCCCGGACCUCCGCCCCCCGCCGGGCCCCCACCCGCGUCCACCAGACUCCCCGGGGGGACCCGAGCUGGCGAUGCCGUCACGUCAGGCCCGGGGCUUCUCAGGCUCUUCCCCAAGGCGGCGGGUGCCCCCAAGGCCCGGGGUUCCGUGGGGCCGGCAGGCCCGCGGGGGGGGCGCUGGCGGUCGGCCCUCCCGCCCCUGCAAGGCGGCUGCCCCGAGGGGAGGGCGAGGCGUCGUGGCCACCGUGGGGCUGCGUGGGUCCCCCCUGGGCCGGUCCCCCCCUGCCUCCACCUGGUGGCCCCGCCGCAGGGCGGGUCGGUCCCACUCCAGAAGGGAGCCUGCCCCCACUCGGUGAGGACCAGGGCUCUGUCCCUGCGGGGCCGGGGCCGGUCCGGGUCCGGGUCCGGGUCCCGCGGGUGGAGACCCAGCAGGAGGUCAGAGAAGAGGCUGCAGGAGCAGCAGCCCCGAAGCCUCCAGCCUCCAGCCUCCGGCCUCCGAACCUCCAGCCCCACCAGGACUGCUGUUUCAUAA